GUUCGGCCACUCGGGGCUGCCCUGCCUUCCUGAACUCUUUCAUUCCCGUUUGAAAUCACCAUUUGUACUUGUUGUUUGCACUUCGUUGAUCAACAGAGUCCAUUUUUGAAUCAUCCUUUAAGCUCUGUUGAAACCUGUCGUACAGAGCAGCGAGCGACAUUGUUGGGUAAUAUGACCAAAAUCCUGCGAGCUUGCAGCGCUGUCAACAUUGUGAGACACUGGCGUGUAGUUGGAAACAAAGUUGGGAAAACGCCGGCAUGGUUGCGACUUCAAACUGCUCAGCUUUUUAGUGUCAAGGCCCAGACAGCACACCUGGUCUUGGAAGAUGGCACCCAGAUGAAAGGGUUUUCCUUUGGAUAUGAUGCUUCAGUUGCUGGGGAACUGGUCUUCAAUACAGGCCUUGUAGGAUAUCCUGAAGCCUUGACAGACCCCAGUUACAGGGGUCAGAUCCUGACUUUGACAUACCCGCUUGUGGGGAACUACGGUGUACCGAACACGCACAAACUGGAUAAGCUUGGCCUGAGAAAACAUGUGGAAUCUGAUGGCAUCCAGGUAUCUGGUCUUCUGGUUCAAAACUACAGUGAUGAGUACAGCCACUGGAACUCUGUCAAGUCUCUGGGUCAAUGGCUGCAAGAAGAGAAGGUUCCUGCACUCUUUGGGAUCGACACCAGAAAGUUAACCAAGACCAUCAGAGACAAGGGCACCGUUCUUGGAAAGAUUGAAUUUGAUGGGCAACCUGUUGAGAUAGCAGACCCUAACCAAAAAAAUCUCAUAGCAGAGGUCUCAACAAAAGAAUCCAAAGUUUUUGGAAGAGGAAACCCUGUCAAAGUGGUAGCAGUUGAUUGUGGUAUUAAGCAUAAUAUAAUUCGCCUGCUGGUUAAGCGGGGUGCAGAAGUUCACUUAGUACCAUGGGACCAGGACUUGUUGAGCCUAAGCUAUGAUGGACUGUUCAUCUCCAAUGGACCAGGAGAUCCGUCCCUCGCUGAGGCACUCAUCCACAAUGUCCGCAAGGUGUUGGAGAGUGAUCGUCCCCAGCCUGUGUUUGGUAUCUGUAUGGGCAAUCAGAUCACUGCCCUUGCUGCUGGUGCUAAGUCCUAUAAACUACCAAUGGGCAACAGAGGUCAGAACCAGCCGGUACUGAAUUUGAUGACAGGCCAGGCCUUCAUUACUGCACAGAACCACGGCUAUGGCAUAGAUAGCGAGUCCCUGCCCCCAGGGUGGAGCCCGCUUUUCAUCAACGCCAAUGAUGGCACAAAUGAGGGCAUCAUGCACAACACUAAACCUGUUUUCACGGCUCAGUUCCACCCAGAGGCCAAAGGCGGCCCCACUGACACAGAGUUCCUUUUUGACACCUUCAUGGCCCUGAUCAAAAAAGGAAAAGAUGCCAACAUAGUGUCAGUCAUGCCGAAGAAACCGUGCAUCUCCCCCAGAGUUCAGGUUUCAAAGGUGCUGGUACUGGGUUCUGGAGGCUUAUCUAUUGGUCAGGCUGGAGAGUUUGAUUACUCUGGGUCUCAGGCUGUCAAGGCAAUGAAGGAAGAGAAUCUGAAGACAGUGCUCAUGAACCCCAACAUAGCCUCAGUCCAGACCAAUGAAAUCGGCACCAAGCAGGCUGAUUCGGUCUACUUUCUGCCUGUCACAUCGCAAUUUGUUACUGAUGUGAUUAAGGCCGAGCGUCCUGAUGGCAUCCUGCUUUCCAUGGGUGGACAGACUGCCCUCAACUGUGGAGUAGAAUUGUUUCAGCAGGGUGUCCUGGACCAGUAUGGAGUAAAAGUCCUGGGAACGCCAGUCGAGUCCAUCAUGGCCACAGAGGACAGGCAGAUAUUUGCUGAAAAACUCAAGGAGAUCAAUGAAAAGAUUGCACCCAGUAUGGCUGUGGAGUCUGUUUGUGAUGCCUUGAAAGCUGCAGAACAGAUAGGCUAUCCAGUGAUGCUGCGAUCAGCCUAUGCCCUGGGAGGCCUGGGCUCAGGUCUGUGCGCCAACAAGGAAAAACUGGCGGAAACUGCUAACAAGGCUUUGGCCAUGAGCAGUCAGAUCCUGGUGGAGAAGUCGAUGCUUGGUUGGAAGGAAGUGGAAUACGAGGUGGUGAGAGACGUUGCAGAUAAUUGUGUCACCGUUUGCAACAUGGAAAACUUUGACCCACUGGGUAUUCACACAGGUGACUCCAUUGUGGUGGCACCGAGCCAGACGUUGUCCAAUGAGGAGUACCACAUGCUUCGUGAAACGGCCAUCAAAGUGGUUCGCCAUCUUGGUAUUGUAGGUGAAUGUAACAUCCAGUACGCGCUCCACCCAUCGUCCCUGGAGUAUUGCAUCAUUGAAGUUAAUGCUCGGCUCUCAAGAAGCUCAGCUCUCGCAUCCAAAGCCACUGGAUACCCCUUGGCAUUUGUGGCUGCUAAGUUAGCUCUUGGGAUCCCCUUGCCUGCGAUAAAGAAUUCUGUAUCUGAAAAGACCACAGCCUGCUUUGAGCCCAGUUUAGACUACAUCGUCACCAAGAUCCCCCGCUGGGACCUGGACCGCUUUCAGGGGAUGUCAAGCGAAAUAGGCAGUGCGAUGAAGAGUGUUGGAGAGGUGAUGGCAGUGGGACGUACUUUUGAGGAGAGCAUGCAGAAGGCCCUGAGGAUGUGCCAUCCAUCAGUGGAUGGCUUUAUGCCCCGAUUGCCUCUCAAAAAAGCCUGGACAAACACACAGAACUUGCAACAGGAGCUUGCCGUGCCUUCCAGCACCAGAAUUUUCUCCAUUGCUAAGGCCCUCCACAGCGGUAUGAGUGUAGAUCAGAUCCACCAGCUGACAGCCAUUGACAUGUGGUUCCUGUACAAACUCCAAAGGAUCGCACAACUGGAGCAACACCUUGCAAACUACAAAAGUCUUUCAGUGCCGAAGAGCCUGCUUCUGCGGGCCAAGCAAGAAGGCUUCUCGGACCGACAGCUUGGUCUGAUUUUGGGCAUCACUGAGGGAGCAGCUCGACAGAUGAGGCUCAGUCAUGGUAUCAGACCGUGGAUCAAACAGAUUGAUACAUUGGCAGCAGAGUAUCCCACCAAAACCAACUAUCUGUAUUGCACCUAUCAUGGGGAGGAGCAUGACCUGGACUUUCAAGACCAGUCAAUUAUGGUUCUUGGUUGUGGGCCCUAUCACAUCGGGAGCAGUGUUGAGUUCGACUGGUGUGCAGUGUCUAGCAUCAGAGCCUUGAGACAGAUGGGCAGAAAGACAGUUGUGGUCAACCAUAACCCUGAGACAGUGAGCACUGAUUUUGAUGAGUGUGACCGCCUGUACUUUGAGGAGCUGACCCUGGAGCGCAUCCUGGACAUCACCCAACAAGAGAGUUGCAGUGGCACCAUUGUAUCAGUGGGAGGUCAGAUCCCAAACAAUCUUGCAGCCCCUUUGCACCUGAAUGGGGUGAACAUUUUGGGCACAAGUCCCCUGCAGAUUGACCGAGCUGAGGAGCGCUCGGUUUUCUCCCAGAUCUUGGAUGACCUCGGUGUGGCGCAAGCCCCGUGGAAGGCCCUCAACUCUCUGGAAGAUGCCUUUGCCUUCGCUAACCAGGUGGGCUAUCCCUGCCUACUGCGUCCAUCCUAUGUUCUCAGUGGCUCGGCAAUGAACGUCGCACAUGGAGAGGAGGAUAUGCGGCGCUUUUUGAAGGAGGCUACCCAGGUGUCCCAGGAGCAUCCAGUGGUUAUAACCAAAUUCAUUUGUGGUGCUCGGGAGGUGGAAGUUGAUGCUGUUGCCAAUAGUGGGAAGGUACUGGUCCAUGCAAUAACAGAGCAUGUAGAGGAUGCUGGCGUACAUUCAGGAGAUGCUACCUUAAUAUUGCCAACACAGACCAUUAGCCAAGGUUCCUUAGAAAAGGUCAAGAUGGUGACCCAAAAUAUAGCGCACGCAUUUGAAAUAUCAGGGCCAUUCAACACUCAGUUUUUGGUAAAAGGCAACAAUGUAAUGGUGAUAGAGUGUAACCUACGGGCAUCACGUUCUUUCCCCUUCGUAUCAAAAACAAUCGGUGUGGACUUUAUCAAUGUGGCAACCAAAGUGAUGGUUGGAGAGCCUGUGGAUGAGGCCAGUCUGCCAUCGCUAGAGAGACCCAUCAUACCUGUAGACUACGUGGGUAUCAAGGCACCCAUGUUCUCUUGGCCACGUCUAAGGGAUGCAGAUCCUGUACUUCGCUGUGAGAUGGCCUCUACUGGAGAAGUUGCCUGUUUUGGACCAAACAUUUAUUCAGCCUUCCUGAAGGCUAUGCUUUCCACAGGCUUUAAACUGCCACAGAAGGGCAUCCUGAUCGGGAUUCAGCAUUCGUUCCGACCCAAUUUCCUGGCUACAGCGCAUCAACUGAAAGAGGACGGCUUCAAGCUCUAUGCUACUGAAUCCACCUCAGCUUGGCUUUGUGCUAAUGAUGUACCAGCAACUCCAGUAGCCUGGCCUACCAAAGGACAGACCAGUUUGCCCAGUAUAAAGAGCUUGAUCAGUGAGGGUCAUAUUGACCUGGUAGUGAACUUGCCCACCAACAACACACGUCACUUGAAGGACAACUUCCUCAUUCGCAGAAUGGCUGUUGAUCACGGGGUACCCCUCAUCACUAAUUAUCAGGUUGCAAAGCUAUUUGCUGAGGCAAUUUGCUAUGCAGGUGAGCUUGACUCCACCAGCCUCUUCCACUACCGGCAGAGAGAACGCCAACAAAGAGGAUGUGGACAUCAAGGCUAGUGGUUCCUUUUUCUGGCCUCGAGUACUUGGAGAAAACUGUCUUCCAAUAACUUCAUCAAGCUCUAGGUCACGCCUGAAGAUCAGAGUGGAGAAGUCCUUGCUUGAUCGAUGACAAACAGCCAGCGAUGCAGCGUGUGAGUGAUCUGAAAUUAGGAGACCCCCAAAGCAAAGCCUCGCCUAUUUGCUUCAGGCUAGCAGCUCAAGGCUAUGCUAGUGGAGCCUGGAAAACCACCCAGACCACUAAAGACCCUGUGACACAUAGUCCUACUGGAUCACUUUUAUUUUCGAUGAUGACAAUGGUUCGUGGUGGUCACACACAAACUUCCUGUUCCCCUUUCAAAUACAAUUUUAAUAGGUUUGAGGUACAACUGAGGUACUGAAAAGUAUCUCGGAUAAAAAAAAAAUGUCCAAACAGAAUGUGACAAAAAUAUAGAGUUUCAAUGUUUGGAUUGACUUAACGUGAUGUGUCCAUGACAUAAUUUCCAAUAGUAACACAUGCACAAAUCAAACGUACAGUAAUUGUCAGACUUUCAAAGUUUUUAGUCCAGAAAGGGUAAAUAAUACACCAUUUGUAUUCAUUCUUUGGGAUGGCAUGCAGGGAGGUUUGUUGUUCAUUGGAUGAAUAAAACAACAUAAUUGGCAUGCAGUUUUGACGCAGGAGGAAAUGCCAUUUAAAAUGAUGGUGGUCUGGAGCAUGUGGGGCUUAGAAGAAUCCCAGUGUCACAAGUCACAUAUAUAUGAAGACCAAUCACUAUGCUUGCUCUAAGGCAGUGUUUCCCAAUCUCUAUUGAGCGAAGGCACCCAUUUUAUAUUAGAAAACCCUCACGGCACACAAUGAAACAAAAAUGUCACCAAAAAAAUGUUAAUACUGAGAUGACGAGCUCAUCUCAAUGUUUUCACAAAAUGACUUAACUAUUUAACUGAAUGCAAAGAUGAUAUACUCGUAUGAAGCCGUGACUUAUGCUGUUAAUGGGAACAGGUGGAUACGCAUAUUUAUUGUACCUUCUGCCAUCUAAUGGAAGAGCAUUUAAUCAUCUACCUCUCACUAUACAUCCCUAUCUUAGAUGCAGUAGAUGAACAAUGAUACAAUACAUCAAAGUCAGCUGGGAUAGACUCCAGACCAUUCAUUCACAUGGAAUUUCAGUUAAUAUAUUUCUCAUUGUGAUUGACUUACACUACUGGAAGUUAACCUUCCAAUAUUAUUGUACUGUCUUUAACUGAAAGACACUAUUGUUUUGUAUAUGUUUGUUUACAUGGCAAUAUAAUUUUAGAAAACAGAACAGGUCACAAAAGGCCAUUUGUUUUUUUAAAUACAGCACUGCUAUUGUUGUAUGGUUGUUUGUGAAAACAGAAGACAUACUGUAACCAUGUAUUAAGUGUUUAGAGUAAGCAUGAGAGUCCUGCACAACCAAAAUAAAAAUGGUGCACCACAAGUCUUUUAUUGUUGUUUUUUUGUUGGUCAUGUCUUUUAUAAUAAUGUGUGCCUCUUCAUUGCA